CGACGUGAGCAAUCUGCCUUUGGAUGGGGGAUAACAGCCGGAAACGACUGCUAAUACCGCAUAAUGCAGCAGGACCGCAUGAUUUUGCUGCCAAAGAUUUAUCGUCCAAAGAUGAGCUCGCGUCUGAUUAGCCAGUUGGCGGGGUAACGGCCCACCAAAGCGACGAUCAGUAGCCGGACUGAGAGGUUGAACGGCCACAUUGGGACUGAGACACGGCCCAGACUCCUACGGAAGGCAGCAG
rnacentral:rRNA from 1 species